GUCUCGGUAGUCUAAAGGCUUAGGACGCUCGCACGGAAUGCAAGAGAUCCGAGUUCAACUCCCGACCGGGGCA
rnacentral:tRNA from 1 species